rnacentral:lncRNA from 1 species
CCAGGCCGAGCGAACCAGCCCCGUUCGCUUCUGUUCCAGCCGCUGUUCCGCCCAUCUCUGGCCGCCUCCGGCCACCGCCAACGCCGCCGGACCUCCCCCGCGACCCCCUCGCCCUCCACUGGCUUUCCCCCGCCGCCCUAGCCGCCGGAGCUGCUUUGUUCAGCCGCGACCAGCAAGACCCACGAAGUGGGUUUCAGCCACUUCGGGCCCGCUUUUGGGCCGUUUCCCGGCCCCGGAUCCGCGAGUCGCUUUGGGAACAAUCGUUCCUCGCGUCGCCGCCAUCGGAUUGAUCCGAUUUGCGCGCGAUUUGGUGAGUAAUCUCACUAAUCCAGGAUUAGUGGCUAAUUAUGCUUUAAGUUGGUUUAGAUUUAAUUAAUUAUGUUUAGGUUGUUAGAUUAGAUUUACUGAGCAAUUAUUAGUCAAUUGUGAUGCCAAUUAGAUAAAUUGAUUGUGUAAUUAGCAAGUAGACAUGGUCUACUAAUUAUUGGAAGUGUCUCGGGAUUUUUCCCGACCCUUAGUGGGCUCCAAUUAGGCUUUUCGUGCCUAAGUGGAUAUUUUUAGUAUUUAAAUAUUAAUUUUCGGAAUUAAAUUAAAUAAUUAUUUAUUUUCCGAAAAUUCAACUGAGAUGGCCCGGGACCGGAAUAUUGUGCUGAUGAUUGUGCUGAAGUCCGUUUAUUUAAUCGGGCUUUAAUUUGAGCUAAAUGGGAUUUUUAAUAUUAAUUAUUGAAUAUUUGAAAUUAAAUUAAAUAAUUAUUUAUUUUCUGAAAAUUCAACUGAGAUAGUCUGGAACCGGAAAAUUAUGCUGAUGACCGUGGUGAAGUCCGUUUAUGUAAUCGGGCUUUAUUUUGAGCUAAAUUGAAUUUUUAAUAAUAAUUAUUUAAUUUUCGAAAUUAAUAAAUAAAUAAAUUAUUUUUCGGAAAUUAAGAUUUUGAUGGCCGACGACCGAAAUCUCGUGCUGAUCGUCGUGGCGCAGUCCGUUUAUUUAUUUGAGCUCUACGUUGUAUGGAAUUGAAUAAAUUGUGAUAUUUUAGGGAUUUACCCUAAAUUGAUUGGAAUUGAUUGAGAUUGAAUUGUUGAUUGAUGAAUGGCCAAGUAUGUUUAUUCAGCAUUUAUAGUGCUUUGUUGAGUUGUAAAGGGAGUAGAAUGAUGAGAGUGAAUCAGAAGUACUCUGGGAUUGAACCAAUCAGACACGGUGUAUGGACCUACGUGGUUCGGUGAUUGGGACAUCACUGGCGAAAACGGCGCCUUAAAGAACGCACGUAUCGGUCUAGUACUCACAUUGUUAUAGGCAUGUAUGGUUCGGUGACUAAGGGUGUCACUGGCGAAAACGGCGCCUUAAAGAACGCAUACACUUGUCUAUUAAAUACAUUGUUAUAGGCAUGUGUGGUUCGGUGAUUUGGGAUAUCACUGGCGAAAACGGCGCCUUAAAGAACGCACACAAUUGUCUAGUGAGUACAUGGUUAUAAGCAUGCGUGGUUCGGUGAUAAGGACAUCACUGGCGAAAACGGCGCCUUAAAGAACGCACGCAAUUGUCUAUUGAUAAAAUCAUUGUAGGCAUGUGUGGUUCGGUGAUUUGGGAUAUCACUGGCGAAAACGGCGCCUUAAAGAACGCACGCAAUUGUCUAGUGGAUAAGUCACUUUGUGAACGUGACGCCCGAGAGUAUUGACCUAGAAUGGUCCGCCUGACAUAUAAUCGACUAGAUCGAUUGAUUAUUGCUUUGAUUUGAUGUUGUGAACUGAUUGGCUGAAUGGAAAUGACUGUGAGGGGUCUUGUUGGCAUAUAAUCGACUAGGUCGAUUUGAUCGAUGCUUCCAUCGAUGUUAUGACUGUUUGGGUGCCUAUGUUAAAUUGUACUGACUUGCAGGUGGGAUCAGAGGCCAAGGUAAGUCCUCUGCCCUGUGCGUGUUUAGGCAGCCUGUAGUAUAAUAGUUUAUCUAAUCGGGCUUAGUGGGGUAGAACUCGCUGAGACGUAGUCUCAUCCCAGUUUGGGGAAAACCAUUUCAGGACCCCGCUGAAGAGCUGAGGAGGAGGAAUCCGAGAAGGAGAACUCGGAGGUGAGAUCUGAAGAAAAGGACUUUUGGAAGAAGAAGACAAUUUUGAGAGGGGCCUUGAGUACGGCCUAGUUCAUCUAAGUUUCUGUCUUCUUUUGAGAUACCCGUUUUGAUGUGAAUAGUUAUGAAAGGGUUUGUGGUUUGUAUAAAAGUGUUGUUAUAAAUUUCAAUAUGAAAAAUAUGGCCCUGCUUUUCUAUCCCAUCGUUUUAUUGUCUGGGGAUUUUAACUGUUUCCGCAUGUGCUAAUAAAUGAAAUGGUCGGCGAUACAUUGUCCUGGG